rnacentral:tRNA from 1 species
GGCCGAAUGGAUAAUCCGUCGCUCUCGUAAAGCGAAGACUGCAGGUUCGAGUCCUGCCUGGGUCG